GACGAACGCUGGCGGCGUGCUUAACACAUGCAAGUCGAGCGAGGGGCUUCGGCUCCUAGCGGCGAACGGGUGAGUAACACGUGGGCAACCUGCCCCGAUCUCUGGAAUAACUUCGGGAAACCGGGGCUAAUGCCGGAUAUGACACUGCUGGGCAUCUGGUGGUGUGGAAAGAUUUAUCGGAUCGGGAUGGGCCCGCGGCCUAUCAGCUUGUUGGUGGGGUGAUGGCCUACCAAGGCGACGACGGGUAGCCGGCCUGAGAGGGCGACCGGCCACACUGGGACUGAGACACGGCCCAGACUCCUACGGGAGGCAGCAGUGGGGAAUAUUGCGCAAUGGGCGAAAGCCUGACGCAGCGACGCCGCGUGGGGGAUGACGGCC
rnacentral:rRNA from 1 species